rnacentral:rRNA from 1 species
AGCGAACGCUGGCGGCAGGCCUAACACAUGCAAGUCGAACGAACCUUUCGGGGUUAGUGGCGGACGGGUGGGUAACACGUGGGAACGUGCCUUUAGGUUCGGAAUAACUCAGGGAAACUUGUGCUAAUACCGAAUGUGCCCUUCGGGGGAAAGAUUAAUCGCCUUUAGAGCGGCCCGCGUCUGAUUAGCUAGUUGGUUGAGGUAAUGGCUCACCAAGGCGACGAUCAGUAGCUGGUCUGAGAGGAUGAUCAGCCACAUUGGGACUGAGACACGGCCCAAACUCCUACGGGAGGCAGCAGUGGGGAAUCUUGCGAAAUGGGCGAAAGCCUGACGCAGCCAUGCCGGGUGAAUGAUGAAGGUCUUAGGAUUGUAAAAUUCUUUCACCGGGGACGAUAAUGACGGUACCCGGAGAAGAAGCCCCGGCUAACUUCGUG